GGGAGUGUAGCCAAGAGGUAAGGCAACAGACUUUUAAUCUGGAUAUCGUGGGUUCGAUUCCCACCACUCCCA
rnacentral:tRNA from 1 species